UAUUUUUGAUCCAUUAUUAAGUAGCCGUAAAACAAGCAUAUUUUCAAAUAUUCUACACAAGUAGUGAUGUAUCUGUGCUUGAUGCCACUGUUCUUCACAAAAUGUGAUAAUAAUGUUAUCUGUUAACAUACAAACAAAGUUUGACUCCACAGAAGUGGAUAACCACAAUAUGCUUAAAUCUGCUAGGAAUGCAUUAUUUGACCUAUACAGAUAGUAGUUCUUUGUGUUUAGGAGUUCUUUUAUGCAACAUUUUUGCAUUGAGUCUCAGCCAGUGUGCAUGUAGAAAUAGUCAUUUCCUGGUGGUA
rnacentral:lncRNA from 1 species